UACAGAGGUCUCGAGCGUUAGGCGGAAUCACUGGGCUUAAAGCGUGUGUAGGCGGGUCGUUAAGUACCUUGUGAAAUCCCACGGCUCAACCGUGGAACUGCUGGGUAUACUGGCGGUCUUGAGCCACCUAGGGGCAACUGGAACAAGCGGUGGAGCGGUGAAAUGCGUAGAUAUCGCUUGGAACGCCAACGGUGAAAACAGGUUGCUGGGGGUGUGCUGACGCUGAGACACGAAAGCCAGGGGAGCGAACGGG
rnacentral:rRNA from 1 species